ACGAACGCUGGCGGCGUGGAUAAGACAUGCAAGUCGAACGGGAGAAUUGCUAGCUUGCUAAUAAUUCUCUAGUGGCGCACGGGUGAGUAACACGUGAGUAACCUGCCUCUUAGUGGGGGAUAGCCCUGGGAAACCGGGAUUAAUACCGCAUACGAUUGAAAGAUCAAAGCAGCAAUGCGCUAGGAGAUGGGCUCGCGGCCUAUUAGUUAGUUGGUGAGGUAACGGCUCACCAAGGCGAUGACGGGUAGCCGGUCUGAGAGGAUGUCCGGCCACACUGGAACUGAGACACGGUCCAGACACCUACGGGUGGCAGCAGUCGAGAAUCAUUCACAAUGGGGGCAACCCUGAUGGUGCGACGCCGCGUGGGGGAAUGAAGGUCUUCGGAUUGUAAACCCCUGUCAUGUGGGAGCAAAUUAAAAAGAUAGUACCACAAGAGGAAGAGACGGCUAACUCUGUGCCAGCAGCCGCGGUAAUACAGAGGUCUCAAGCGUUGUUCGGAAUCACUGGGCGUAAAGCGUGCGUAGGCUGUUUCGUAAGUCGUGUGUGAAAGGCAGGGGCUCAACCCCUGGAUUGCACAUGAUACUGCGAGACUAGAGUAAUGGAGGGGGAACCGGAAUUCUCGGUGUAGCAGUGAAAUGCGUAGAUAUCGAGAGGAACACUCGUGGCGAAGGCGGGUUCCUGGACAUUAACUAACGCUGAGGCACGAAGGCCAGGGGAGCGAAAGGGAUUAGAUACCCCUGUAGUCCUGGCAGUAAACGGUGCACGCUUGGUGUGCGGGGAAUCGACCCCCUGCGUGCCGGAGCUAACGCGUUAAGCGUGCCGCCUGGGGAGUACGGUCGCAAGAUUAAAACUCAAAGAAAUUGACGGGGACCCGCACAAGCGGUGGAGUAUGUGGCUUAAUUCGAUGCAACGCGAAGAACCUUACCUGGGCUUGACAUGUAAUGAACAACAUGUGAAAGCAUGCGACUCUUCGGAGGCGUUACACAGGUGCUGCAUGGCCGUCGUCAGCUCGUGUCGUGAGAUGUUUGGUUAAGUCCAGCAACGAGCGCAACCCCUGUUGCCAGUUACCAGCACGUCAAGGUGGGGACUCUGGCGAGACUGCCCAGAUCAACUGGGAGGAAGGUGGGGACGACGUCAGGUCAGUAUGGCCCUUAUGCCCAGGGCUGCACACGUACUACAAUGCCCAGUACAGAGGGGGCCGAAGCCGCGAGGCGGAGGAAAUCCUGAAAACUGGGCCCAGUUCGGACUGUAGGCUGCAACCCGCCUACACGAAGCCGGAAUCGCUAGUAAUGGCGCAUCAGCUACGGCGCCGUGAAUACGUUCCCGGGUCUUGUACACACCGCCCGUCACAUCAUGGAAGCCGGUCGCACCCGAAGUAUCUGAAGCCAACCGCAAGGAGGCAGGGUCCUAAGGUGAGACUGGUAACUGGGAUG
rnacentral:rRNA from 1 species